UUUCCGUAGGUGAACCUGCGGAAGGAUAAUUGUAGAUUUCAUUUUCAAAAAGAUGUGAAGUUGUACCAAUACACAUUGAGAACUAAUCGUUUUUGCUUUCAGCACUUGCGUUGUUUAGAUGGGUUCCCUUUGCGGCCUUCAUCUUUGCUUCAUUUGAAGUGAGAAGUAGAGUAGAAAUAAACGACCGACACGGUUUAUGCCAAGGAUAGAUGUUGUUGAGGUACAUUGCCAUCUUUUUGACGUAUUUGUGUUACUCUACGAGCAUAUACGUCUGAAUGACUCCUGGCAAUGGAUAUCUUGGCUCUC
rnacentral:misc_RNA from 1 species